UGCACGAUGAACUGGAUCACUUGUUUUCCCCAGUCUGACAAAAGAAGUCCCCUGGCUCUUACUGGGCGUAAAGCAGCCAAAGCAGAAUGCGUCCUAAGAGUCCCCUUUGUCCGGACAGAGGCCUCAUUUGUCAGACACAAAUGCUGCCCUGGCAGUCCUGGAUGCCUGUGUCACUGUGACAAAUCUGUUUGGGUUGGAGUACCAGAAGUUCACCGCUGUGAUGCGUCCAAGCUCCCAGGCUGCCCCAGUGCCGCCGGGAACUCAUUCACAGCGGCCCUGCACCCGGGCUCCUGCAGCCUCGGGCUGUAAAUUCUGAGACUCAGCAAUUAAUUUUGAUGAACUCGCUCCUCUCUGGGUCGAGGGUUCCCAGGAGCCCUGGCCUGCCGAUGGGUUGGAGGACUUGUGGAGAGACUUCCUGGGUUCCAGGAGCAAGCCGAUGGGUGUUGGAGGUGAACUGCACACCUGCAGACAAAGACGACUGGAAGCUAAAUUCCGGGGUAGCGGGUCUCGCGUGCCAGCUCUUACCUGGACUUCAUGUGGGAGAACCUCGGAGUCCCACCCAUUCCUCUCAGGCACUUACUGCUUCCUCCCGCCUGCCUGAGAGGGUGAGUGAUGCACAGGAACAGGGAGGGCUGUGUAUCUGCAGAACUCCACUGCAAGUGAACUUCCGUCUCCUGGGUGAAUCACGCAGACAGCUGCCUCAUUCUUCUCAACCCCGAAUUCGGGCAAUCACUGGGGGAAAAUGGAAAGACUCAAGAAGAAAACCCCUUAGCAUCGUUUAAAAACUUCCCAAAUUCAUGACUCUGGUCUACUUUUCUGGAUGUAUUUACCAUAAUCCCUUGUUUUUCCUUUCAUGCCGCAACCAGCCCUGAAUACAUCCACCCACCUUUCACAUUUCCAGCACACACGUUUGCCCCUGCGUCUCCCCAGGCCCCAAAUGUCCUCUUCCUCGUGCUCAGCGUUGGGUGAGGUAAGUGGGGAGGGGGCUAGAUGUACACCUCCCCUGGCCCCCUCUCCUUUGAUUUUUCUUCAAAAUUCAGUCCAAAUCUCACCUUUGGGGCUCAUUCGUGGACAACUUGACGUAU